rnacentral:hammerhead_ribozyme from 1 species
AUCCGGCUGAUGAAUCCCAAAUAGGACGAAACUUAAGUCUUGGAU